rnacentral:tRNA from 1 species
GGGGAUUUAGCUCAGCGGCAUAAGCGCCUGCCUUGCAAGCAGGAAAUCGUGAGUUCGAUCCCCG